rnacentral:tRNA from 1 species
AGGAUAGUAGUUAAAAAUAAUAACGUUUAAGUUGCAUUUAAAAAAUAUUGAAAUCUCAAUUUAUCUUA